AACUCGAAGGGUUUGAUCCUGGCUCAGAACGAACGCUGGCGGCGUGGCUAAGACAUGCAAGUCGAACGGACCGUUAAUUUAUUAGCGGUUAGUGGCGUAAGGGUUAGUAACGGAUAGGUGAACGUACCCUUUGCUUCGGAAUAGCGUCGUUGGCAGCAAUGCCAACUACCGAAAGGGGCGGUAAUACCGGAUGAUAUCACUUGUCGCAGGAUAAGUGUUCAAAGAUUCAUCGGCAAAGGAGCGGCCUAUCUCCUAUCAGCUUGUUGGUGAGGUAAUGGCCCACCAAGGCUAAGACGGGUAGCGGGACUGAGAGGUUGACCCGCAACAUCGGGACUGAGACACUGCCCGG
rnacentral:rRNA from 1 species